CAGCAGCCGCGGUAAUACGGAGGGGGCUAGCGUUGUUCGGAAUUACUGGGCGUAAAGCGCACGUAGGCGGCUUGGUAAGUUAGAGGUGAAAGCCCGGAGCUCAACUCCGGAAUUGCCUUUAAGACUGCCGAGCUAGCAGGUGAGAGAGGUAAGUGGAAUUCCGAGUGUAGAGGUGAAAUUCGUAGAUAUUCGGAAGAACACCAGUGGCGAAGGCGGCUUACUGGCUCAUACUGGACGCUGAGGUGCGAAAGCGUGGGGAGCAAACAGGAUUAGAUACCCCGGUAGUCCCUGUCUCUUAUAC
rnacentral:rRNA from 1 species